rnacentral:sRNA from 1 species
AGCCGCGGUCCGGAGCCAAUGGGUUACCCAUCAUUUGAACCCUCCCACUGGCAUCAACUUGACCGUUGU